GUCAGAAAUACCUCAGUGUUUUGCUGGGUUUAAUCAAUGAUUGCAGAUGGUAAAGCUGGAAAGCAAGAAUAUUACUUUCAAAUUUAUCCAGCAUCUGCCACCUAAGAAUAUCAGAGUGCCAUAAAAUCUUUUAUAAAUGAAGCCAUUCAGCACCUUUAAGUAUUACUUUGCCAUUCUGCAGAAAAGGAAAUGGCGGUUCAGAGGCAUUGGGCCAGUUAGUGACUGAUAGACAUGGGAACUGAACAGAACAGGCACAGAGAUUCUUUAUCGUAAACAGUACAUGCUGCAGCCUCAAGAGGCAGGUAAGACCCAGCAACACCAAAGAAUUAUUAGUGUCUGCUGAUCCAGAGGGAAAAGGAAGGGUUGCUCCAGGCCAGGGCUGAAGACCAUGCACACAGUUGCUGCUAUGCAGUACUUUUUCUGCGUGUAACAAAUGAGCUGCAGUCCCUGUAGUUCUUGGUUUUAUUCUGUACCUUUGAAAAUAAAGAGCAACCUAUUCUCA